ACAGUAAAAACCUAGACGUAAAAGAAAUAUGCCUAUAUUACGUAGUUCCAAGACAACUUAUAGCCCAAAAAAUUGAUCAUUAAAAGAACCUUUGAUCAUUUUUCAGUGAUAACGUAUUCCGAUUAAAAUCUUCAACGUUUUGGGGGUUAUUAUUGAAUAUUUUAAUGAUAUAAAAUCUGACCAUGUCGGAGUACAGUGUUAUUUCGGACCCAGAGGCGCUGAUAGAAUGUCCGUACGACAAAGUGCACAUGAUCCGAGCCAAACGCUUCCCGUACCAUCUGUUAAAGUGUAAAAAGAACUAUGUAGGAAGUGAAUUCUCAGUGUGCCCUUUCAACGCGCGCCACGAGAUGCCGAAACCCGAACUCCGGUAUCACAUGGCCAACUGUCCUGACCGUGCCAGACUGGAGAAGGAUCUCGCGUACGAGUCCAGUUUAAAAAGUGAAGAUGGGUCGCUGUUUAAAGGCUGCACCGAUGUUCCGGCAUACAAGUCAUCUGUCGACAUGAACGAAAACUGGGAUCAUGAACUGCCGAUGUCUGUCCGUAUUGGCGUACAUCCGAGCUUCUUUGAGAAAUGUCAGUACAAAAAUCUCACAGGGUUCACCCCAGCACAGAAGAGAGCAUUUUACGAGAAUCUCAAAGAGGGCCAUGAUGGGCUUGUCCCGAGGACCCAGACCGAAAUGAGUUCUGCCAUGGAUGUAGCGAGUCGACUAAGAGUUCCACACAAAGCCUCUGAGGCACUCAAGCUGAUGCCCACCGUUCCCACGGUAACGCCGAAACCACCGAACAACGUCUUCAUGUACUCACUAUCCAUGGCGGGAGUCGGGCGCGGCAGGGGAGUGUUAGUCAAUGUGGACAAAGGACCGACACUGGGCAUCUCUACAGGGGUAGGAAGAGGAUUGAUGGGCAUUGGAAGAGGAGUAGCAGAACAAUAAUUUUUACGACUCUAACAAUGACAAUGUAAUUGGACUUUGCUUUUUUCUGAAGGUGAUAAGAAAUUGUCCAGUCAUUUUUUGUGUUUCAGGGUUUGUUAUGCAGUUUCCAUGACAAAUCUUCAUUAUGUUUGUUCAAAAAUAUGCACAAAGUCUGAUGUUUCUUAUU
rnacentral:misc_RNA from 1 species